rnacentral:tRNA from 1 species
GCAAUCAUGGCCGAAUGGUUAAGGCGAUGAACUAGAAAUCCAUUCGGGUCUCCCCGCACAGGUUCAAAUCCUGUCGACUGCG